rnacentral:rRNA from 1 species
UACAGAGGUGGCAAGCGUUGUUCGGAAUUACUGGGCGUAAAGGGCGCGUAGGCGGUCCCGUCAGUCCCUUGUGAAAUCCCCCGGCUCAACUGGGGAACUGCAAGGGAUACAGCGGGGCUUGAGUUCGGGAGAGGGAAGCGGAAUUCCGGGUGUAGCGGUGAAAUGCGUAGAUAUCUGGAGGAACACCGGUGGCGAAGGCGGCAUCCUGGACCGGCAUUGACGCUGAGGCGCGAAAGCUAGGGGAGCAAACGGG